rnacentral:rRNA from 1 species
AUUGACCGCUGGCGGCAGGCCUAACACAUGCAAGUCGAGCGGAGCGGCGGACGGGUGAGUAAUGCCUAGGAUUCUGCCUGGUAGUGGGGGAUAACGUCCGGAAUCGGGCGCUAAUACCGCACACUAUCCGAUGAGCCUAGGUCGGAUUAGCUAGUUGGUGGGGUAAAGGCCUACCACGGCGACGAUCCGUAACUGGUCUGAGAGGAUGAUCAGUCACACUGGAACUGAGACACGGUCCAGACUCCUACGGGAGGCAGCAGUGGGGAAUAUUGGACAAUGGGCGAAAGCCUGAUGCAGCCAUGCCGCGUGUGUGAAGAAGGUCUUCGGAUUGUAAAGCACUUUAAGUUGGGAGGCGUUACCAGCAGAAGAAGCACCGGCUAACUUCGUGCCAGCAGCCGCGGUAAUAC